GUGGGCGGACAUCAAAUCUAUUGUAAAAAAAGAAGGGAACGGAGAGGGCAAGAGAGUUGAAAAAAACCGGAGGAGGGAAGACGACAAUCCAGCUGGACCCACUGGAGGAGAAAUUGUUGGGGGCGAUUGCCGAAACGAUAGUUGAAGGAGUAGAUGGAGGAGUGGACACUGGAGAACCGGGAGAAGACGAUAGCCUGCAAGCAGUAGAUACUUUGGUCGUAAUAGCAGUCAACCAGGAUGCAGAACAAUCCCACACAAUCAAUGCAGCUGAACCAACCCAAGCCCUUACAAAUCAUCAAAACCUGUUACAGAGUCCCGGGGAUGACCUGACAUUAUCCCAGCUAUUCUCAGAAACAUUUCAUACACCUGCCACAUCCAGAAGCAACACAGAGGACAUGGUCUCCCUUCAGCGUCAGCUUUUGGAGGAAGUUAAAAUGCUCUGGCAUACUCAGGAGCAACUCCUGCAGGUGGAGAGGGAAAAGCUGCUCGUCGAGAGGGAGAAGCUUCGCCUUGCCCAAGCCAAGUUUGAUUUAAAAAAAAAUGAAUGUUGAACCUAGAAUAAAAUAGCAAUCACUCAGAGGUUUUCAUGUGUUGUUUAUUGUGGUUUUUCUUCACAUGAAUCUCCUCCUUAUGAGGUCUUGUCUCACUUGCAUGCCAGUGUUACAUGGGGCAGGGACUGGGACAUCUACCUCGGGGAUGUCAGGGAUUGGCAAGCGGUACAUAAUGCAGAUGUUGUGGAGGAUAAAAGCACAGGUAAUAAUUUUACAUGCCCUCUCAGGAGUGUACUGGAGCACUCCACCAGAACGGUCGAUACACCUAAACCUUGACUUCACUACCCCAAUGCACCUCUCCACAACACUACGUGUUUUUCGUUGUGCCCGGCUGUAGCGCUCAUCUGGCUCUGUUGCAGGGUGAAGGAUGGGUGUCAUCAACCAUGGCCUUAAGGCCUAGCCACUGUCUACUGUCAUAGAGGACAUUAGUUAGGGCAAUACAGUAUGUUUUUGUUUUAACCUAAGGUAGAAUUCAUGUGUAGUUCUCACCUAACAACCAACCACCGGGCAUUUCUCCCUCAUUAAAUUGAAUGCCUGUUCCUGAAUUCAUGAGAACAAAUGAGUCGUGGGUGCUACCCGGCCACUUCGCAACAAGGUCUGUCACUCGGAGCGUUGCAUCACAUAUGACCUGUGUGUUUAUUGAGUGGAAAUUUUUCCUGUUCACAAAGGCCUCCUCCUCAUCAUUUGGUGCAUAUGGAAUUAAAAUGUAUG